rnacentral:rRNA from 1 species
GGGUUGUGAGGUUAAGCGACUAAGCGUACACGGUGGAUGCCCUGGCAGUCAGAGGCGAUGAAGGACGUGCUAAUCUGCGAUAAGCGUCGGUAAGGUGAUAUGAACCGUUAUAACCGGCGAUUUCCGAAUGGGGAAACCCAGUGUGAUUCGUCACACUAUCAUUAACUGAAUCCAUAGGUUAAUGAGGCGAACCGGGGGAACUGAAACAUCUAAGUACCCCGAGGAAAAGAAAUCAACCGAGAUUCCCCCAGUAGCGGCGAGCGAACGGGGAGCAGCCCAGAGCCUGAAUCAGUGUGUGUGUUAGUGGAAGCGUCUGGAAAGGCGCGCGAUACAGGGUGACAGCCCCGUACACAAAAAUGCACAUGCUGUGAGCUCGAUGAGUAGGGCGGGACACGUGGUAUCCUGUCUGAAUAUGGGGGGACCAUCCUCCAAGGCUAAAUACUCCUGACUGACCGAUAGUGAACCAGUACCGUGAGGGAAAGGCGAAAAGAACCCCGGCGAGGGGAGUGAAAAAGAACCUGAAACCGUGUACGUACAAGCAGUGGGAGCCUCUUUAUGGGGUGACUGCGUACCUUUUGUAUAAUGGGUCAGCGACUUAUAUUCUGUAGCAAGGUUAACCGAAUAGGGGAGCCGAAGGGAAACCGAGUCUUAACUGGGCGUUAAGUUGCAGGGUAUAGACCCGAAACCCGGUGAUCUAGCCAUGGGCAGGUUGAAGGUUGGGUAACACUAACUGGAGGACCGAACCGACUAAUGUUGAAAAAUUAGCGGAUGACUUGUGGCUGGGGGUGAAAGGCCAAUCAAACCGGGAGAUAGCUGGUUCUCCCCGAAAGCUAUUUAGGUAGCGCCUCGUGAAUUCAUCUCCGGGGGUAGAGCACUGUUUCGGCAAGGGGGUCAUCCCGACUUACCAACCCGAUGCAAACUGCGAAUACCGGAGAAUGUUAUCACGGGAGACACACGGCGGGUGCUAACGUCCGUCGUGAAGAGGGAAACAACCCAGACCGCCAGCUAAGGUCCCAAAGUCAUGGUUAAGUGGGAAACGAUGUGGGAAGGCCCAGACAGCCAGGAUGUUGGCUUAGAAGCAGCCAUCAUUUAAAGAAAGCGUAAUAGCUCACUGGUCGAGUCGGCCUGCGCGGAAGAUGUAACGGGGCUAAACCAUGCACCGAAGCUGCGGCAGCGACGCUUAUGCGUUGUUGGGUAGGGGAGCGUUCUGUAAGCCUGUGAAGGUGUGCUGUGAGGCAUGCUGGAGGUAUCAGAAGUGCGAAUGCUGACAUAAGUAACGAUAAAGCGGGUGAAAAGCCCGCUCGCCGGAAGACCAAGGGUUCCUGUCCAACGUUAAUCGGGGCAGGGUGAGUCGACCCCUAAGGCGAGGCCGAAAGGCGUAGUCGAUGGGAAACAGGUUAAUAUUCCUGUACUUGGUGUUACUGCGAAGGGGGGACGGAGAAGGCUAUGUUGGCCGGGCGACGGUUGUCCCGGUUUAAGCGUGUAGGCUGGUUUUCCAGGCAAAUCCGGAAAAUCAAGGCUGAGGCGUGAUGACGAGGCACUACGGUGCUGAAGCAACAAAUGCCCUGCUUCCAGGAAAAGCCUCUAAGCAUCAGGUAACAUCAAAUCGUACCCCAAACCGACACAGGUGGUCAGGUAGAGAAUACCAAGGCGCUUGAGAGAACUCGGGUGAAGGAACUAGGCAAAAUGGUGCCGUAACUUCGGGAGAAGGCACGCUGAUAUGUAGGUGAGGUCCCUCGCGGAUGGAGCUGAAAUCAGUCGAAGAUACCAGCUGGCUGCAACUGUUUAUUAAAAACACAGCACUGUGCAAACACGAAAGUGGACGUAUACGGUGUGACGCCUGCCCGGUGCCGGAAGGUUAAUUGAUGGGGUUAGCGGUAACGCGAAGCUCUUGAUCGAAGCCCCGGUAAACGGCGGCCGUAACUAUAACGGUCCUAAGGUAGCGAAAUUCCUUGUCGGGUAAGUUCCGACCUGCACGAAUGGCGUAAUGAUGGCCAGGCUGUCUCCACCCGAGACUCAGUGAAAUUGAACUCGCUGUGAAGAUGCAGUGUACCCGCGGCAAGACGGAAAGACCCCGUGAACCUUUACUAUAGCUUGACACUGAACAUUGAGCCUUGAUGUGUAGGAUAGGUGGGAGGCUUUGAAGUGUGGACGCCAGUCUGCAUGGAGCCGACCUUGAAAUACCACCCUUUAAUGUUUGAUGUUCUAACGUUGACCCGUAAUCCGGGUUGCGGACAGUGUCUGGUGGGUAGUUUGACUGGGGCGGUCUCCUCCUAAAGAGUAACGGAGGAGCACGAAGGUUGGCUAAUCCUGGUCGGACAUCAGGAGGUUAGUGCAAUGGCAUAAGCCAGCUUGACUGCGAGCGUGACGGCGCGAGCAGGUGCGAAAGCAGGUCAUAGUGAUCCGGUGGUUCUGAAUGGAAGGGCCAUCGCUCAACGGAUAAAAGGUACUCCGGGGAUAACAGGCUGAUACCGCCCAAGAGUUCAUAUCGACGGCGGUGUUUGGCACCUCGAUGUCGGCUCAUCACAUCCUGGGGCUGAAGUAGGUCCCAAGGGUAUGGCUGUUCGCCAUUUAAAGUGGUACGCGAGCUGGGUUUAGAACGUCGUGAGACAGUUCGGUCCCUAUCUGCCGUGGGCGCUGGAGAACUGAGGGGGGCUGCUCCUAGUACGAGAGGACCGGAGUGGACGCAUCACUGGUGUUCGGGUUGUCAUGCCAAUGGCACUGCCCGGUAGCUAAAUGCGGAAGAGAUAAGUGCUGAAAGCAUCUAAGCACGAAACUUGCCCCGAGAUGAGUUCUCCCUGACUCCUUGAGAGUCCUGAAGGAACGUUGAAGACGACGACGUUGAUAGGCCGGGUGUGUAAGCGCAGCGAUGCGUUGAGCUAACCGGUACUAAUGAACCGUGAGGCUUAACCUUACAACGCCGAAG